AAAAUUGCCCAUAAAAUUUCCUUCCAGAAAACACUUUCUUUGAAUGUAUUCUGUGACUUUAGUCAUUUGCCAAUAAUUGACUAAGUGAGACACCAGGUGUGUGAGACAUGGCUCAUGCUUUCCACCAAGGCAGGACACACAUGCUAAAUUUAACAAUAGACUUUCGCUAAUAUGCAGAGGAAGUGACAAUCUUUUUUUUUUCCAGGAUAUGUCUUGGGUCUGGUUGGUGCUCCAGCUUGCCAGUCCAUGCCUCCCAUGAGCUGAGGAGAUGAGGAGAAAGCUCUGGGUGGCUGAUGGAUGCAAACUGAAAGAAGAUUGGGCUCACCUUUAUCUGUUUCCAUGUUCACAGAAGAGGCCAAGGUUCUGCCUCAGGAAAAUGGUGUCCAUGAUGGCUUGUGCUGGAACACUCAGGACAUAAGCUGUCUCUGCUAAAA
rnacentral:lncRNA from 1 species